GGAGGGUGCAAGCGUUGUUCGGAAUUACUGGGGGGCGUAAAGCGCGUGUAGGGCGGGCUUGGGUAAGUCGGGUGUGAAAGCCCGGGGCUCAACCCCGGAACUGCAUCCCGAAACUGCCUCGCUAGAGUCCCGGAGAGGAAGGCAGAAUUCCCAGUGUAGGGGUGAAAUCCGUAGAUAUUGGGAGGAAUACCAGUGGCGAAGGCGGCCCUCUGGACGGUGACUGACGCUCAGACGCGAAAGCGUGGGUAGCAAACAGGAUUAGAUACCCUGGUAGUCCACGCCGUAAACGUUGUGUACCAGGUGUCGGGGGUAUUCACUCCUCCGGUGCCGCCGCUAACGCAUUAAGUACACCGCCUGGGGAGUACGGCCGCAAGGCUA
rnacentral:rRNA from 1 species